GGGGAGCUGGCCGAGUCUGGUUUAAGGCAGUGGAUUGCUAAUCCGCCGUAGGGGCCAUCGGGCUUCUGCCGAGAGUUCGAAUCUCUCGCUCUCCGC
rnacentral:tRNA from 1 species